rnacentral:rRNA from 1 species
UACGUAGGGUGCAAGCGUUGUCCGGAAUUAUUGGGCGUAAAGAGCUCGUAGGCGGUUUGUCGCGUCUGCUGUGAAAACCCGCAGCUCAACUGUGGGCUUGCAGCUGAUACGGGCAGGCUAGAGUUCGGUAGGGGAGACUGGAAUUCCUGGUGUAGCAGUGAAAUGCGCAGAUAUCAGGAGGAACACCGGUGGCGAAGGCGGGUCUCUGGGCCGAUACUGACGCUGAGGAGCGAAAGCGUGGGGAGCGAACAGG